AGAGUUUGAUCAUGGCUCAGGGUGAACGCUAGCUACAGGCUUAACACAUGCAAGUCGAGGGGAAACGACAUCGAAAGCUUGCUUUUGAUGGGCGUCGACCGGCGCACGGGUGAGUAACGCGUAUCCAACCUGCCCACCACUUGGGGAUAACCUUGCGAAAGUAAGACUAAUACCCAAUGACGUCUCUAGAAGACAUCUGAAAAGAGAUUAAAGAUUUAUCGGUGAUGGAUGGGGAUGCGUCUGAUUAGCUUGUUGGCGGGGUAACGGCCACCAAGGCGACGAUCAGUAGGGGUUCUGAGAGGAAGGUCCCCCANAUUGGAACUGAGACACGGUCCAAACUCCUACGGGAGCA
rnacentral:rRNA from 1 species